rnacentral:rRNA from 1 species
CCUUCGGGUGGCAGCAGUGGGGAAUAUUGCACAAUGGGGGAAACCCUGAUGCAGCGACGCCGCGUGAGUGAAGAAGUAAUUCGUUAUGUAAAGCUCUAUCAGCAGGGAAGAAAAUGACGGUACCUGAGUAAGAAGCCCCGGCUAACUACGUACCAGCAGCCGCGGUAAUACGUAGGGGGCAAGCGUUAUCCGGAUUUACUGGGUGUAAAGGGAGCGUAGACGGCAGUGCAAGUCGGGAGGGAAAGGCGGGGGCUCAACCCCCGGACUGCCCUGGAAACUGUACGGCGGGAGUGCAGGAGAGGUGAGGGGAAUUUCCUGUGUAGCGGUGAAAUGCGGAGAUAUUAGGAGGAACACCAGUGGCGAAGGCGGCUUACUGGACUGUAACUGACGUUGAGGCUCGAAAGCGUGGGGAGCAAACAGGAUUAGAUACCCUUGUAGUC